rnacentral:misc_RNA from 1 species
UAAUAAGUGUUCUAUGGCACUUUUUAAAUCCAUAUCCACCUUGUGUGCAAUGUCAGUCGAUCUUCUUCAUGGAGAUCGACCAAACAUCAACCUUUAUUUUUUAACUCUUUGUCUGAAAAAUAUUAUGAAUAAACAAUUCAAAAUA